CUAUACAUGCAGUCGAGCGAAUGAUGAAGAAGCUUGCUUCUUCUGAUUUAGCGGCGGACGGGUGAGUAACACGUGGGCAACCUGCCCUGUAGAUUGGGAUAACUCCGGGAAACCGGGGCUAAUACCGAAUAAUCCAUUUCUUCACAUGAGGGAAUGUUAAAAGACGGUUUCGGCUGUCACUACAGGAUGGGCCCGCGGCGCAUUAGCUAGUUGGUGGGGUAAUGGCUCACCAAGGCGACGAUGCGUAGCCGACCUGAGAGGGUGAUCGGCCACACUGGGACUGAGACACGGCCCAAACUCCUACGGGAGGCAGCAGUAGGGAAUCUUCCACAAUGGACGAAAGUCUGAUGGAGCAACGCCGCGUGAGUGAAGAAGGUUUUCGGAUCGUAAAACUCUGUUGUGAGGGAAGAACAAGUACGAGAGUAACUGCUCGUACCUUGACGGUACCUCAUUAGAAAGCCACGGCUAACUACGUGCCAGCAGCCGCGGUAAUACGUAGGUGGCAAGCGUUGUCCGGAAUUAUUGGGCGUAAAGCGCGCGCAGGCGG
rnacentral:rRNA from 1 species